rnacentral:rRNA from 1 species
GAUGAACGCUGGCGGCGUGCCUAAUACAUGCAAGUCGAGCGAACAGACGAGGAGCUUGCUCCUCUGACGUUAGCGGCGGACGGGUGAGUAACACGGGGAUAACCUACCUAUAAGACUGGGAUAACUGCGGGAAACCGGAGCUAAUACCGGAUAAUAUAUUGAACCGCAUGGUUCAAUAGUGAAAGACGGUUUUGCUGUCGCUUAUAGAUGGAUCCGCGCCGCAUUGGCUAGUUGGUAAGGUAACGGCUUACCAAGGCAACGAUGCGUAGCCGACCUGAGAGGGUGAUCGGCCACACUGGAAGUGAGACACGGUCCAGACUCCUACGGGAGGCAGCAGUAGGGAAUCUUCCGCAGUGGGAGAAAGCAUGACGGAGCAACGCCGCGUGAGUGAUGAAGGUCUUCGGAUCGUAAAACUCUGUUAUUAGGGAAGAACAAAUGUGUAAGUAACUAUGCACGUAUUGACGGUACCUAAUCAGAAAGCAACGGCUAACUACGUG